GAAUUGGGAAGUAGAUGGAGUCAGUGAUGAGAUAUUUUCAUGCCUGAAAGAAGUAUUGCACUGAUCCCAGAAGCGUUAACAUACUCUAUUUCAAUCGGCAAAUGGUGGUGGAGACGUGGAGACGAGAGCCCAAUGCUCACAUGUGCUACCCCAGGAAACCUUUCCAUCUGUGGACACCCUCCAUCUCUGUUUACAGAUCAUGGAGCAUUAACCAAGUAAGUAAAUUUUUGGUAUAGAGAAAAG
rnacentral:lncRNA from 1 species